rnacentral:rRNA from 1 species
UACGUAGGGUGUGAGCGUUAAUCGGAAUUACUGGGCGUAAAGCGUGCGCAGGCGGUUUUGUAAGCCAGAUGUGAAAUCCCCGGGCUCAACCUGGGAAUGGCAUUUGGGACUGCAAGGCUGGAGUGCGGCAGAGGAGACUGGAAUUCCUGGUGUAGCAGUGAAAUGCGUAGAUAUCAGGAGGAAUACCGAUGGCGAAGGCGGUUCUCUGGGCCUUACCUGACGCUGAGGAGCGAAAGCGUGGGGAGCAAACAGG